UCUGGAUAAUAUCUUCUGAGGUAAUUUGCAUUCAUCUUAGAAUAAAUAACUGUGUAAAGCCAUUGGUGUGUAUUUUUUUGAUUUCAGUGUAAAAAGUGAUUAAAUAAUUUAAUGUCAUAGGAAGGCUAGCUCAUCUUGCAUUAAAAAUAUGUACAUACACACAUAUAUGUGUACAUGUAUGUUUUACCUUUUAUCCUAUAUUGUGGUUCUCUCUGGAUAGAAUUUUCUAAAAAUAAAUUUAUUCUUCUACAAUGAUUUAUUCUAGGAGACAUAGGAUGACAAUUCCUAGCUGAAGCCUACAUGUGUGUUACGAACCAUACACAACAUAGUUCUUUCUACCUGAGGUCUUUGCCAUUCCCAGAACGUAAGCUGGUUCCGGAAUCUCUGUCAUUCGGCACUGAAAUGGGAGCUGAUUUGUGGAUCUGGAGGAGCUCACUGUUGUUUGUCUACUUUCCCCCAUCUGGAGCAGGAGGACUGGUGUUCUAGACCUUUUGAACAUUACCAUGAUGGGUCCCCAAUGCCUUAGAUG
rnacentral:lncRNA from 10 species